rnacentral:rRNA from 1 species
CGGGACGGGUGAGUAAUGUCUGGGAAACUGCCUGGUGGAGGGGGAUAGCUACUGGAAACGGUAGCUAAUACCGCAUAACGUCGCAAGACCAAAGAGGGGACCUUCGGGCCUCUUGCCAUCGGAUGUGCCCAGAUGGGAUUAGCUAGUAGGUGGGGUAACGGCUCACCUAGGCGACGAUCCCUAGCUGGUCUGAGAGGAUGACCAGCCACACUGGAACUGAGACACGGUCCAG